ACUUUCAACAACGGAUCUCUUGGUUCUGGCAUCGAUGAAGAACGCAGCGAAAUGCGAUAAGUAAUGUGAAUUGCAGAAUUCAGUGAAUCAUCGAAUCUUUGAACGCACAUUGCGCCCUUUGGUAUUCCGAAGGGCAUGCCUGUUCGAGCGGCAUUAC
rnacentral:rRNA from 1 species